UAUGUACUCCCUCUGUUCGGAAUUACUCGUUCAAAAAAUGAAUGUAUCUAGAUGUAUUUUAGUUGUAGAUACAUCCAUUUUUGUGACAAGUAAUUCCGAACGGUGGGAGCAGUAG
rnacentral:pre_miRNA from 1 species